rnacentral:rRNA from 1 species
UUUGGCAGUAAUGGCGAGAAGGACACACCCGUUCCCAUCCCGAACACGGAAGUUAAGCUUUUCAGCGUCAAUGGUAGUGGAGGAUUUCCCUCUGUGAGAGUAGAACACUGCCAAGC